rnacentral:rRNA from 1 species
AAAUUGAAGAGUUUGAUCAUGGCUCAGAUUGAACGCUGGCGGCAGGCCUAACACAUGCAAGUCGAACGGUAACAGGAAGCAGCUUGCUGCUUUGCUGACGAGUGGCGGACGGGUGAGUAAUGUCUGGGAAACUGCCUGAUGGAGGGGGAUAACUACUGGAAACGGUGGCUACGGUGGCUA